rnacentral:lncRNA from 1 species
AAUGAUUUUUCCAAGGCAUAAAGCAAACUAGUUUUGGAGCUGGGAUUGAGCUCAGGAAUCCCAGGCCGGUGCUCUUUCCACACUACUUACCCCCUUCCAACAAAAGGGCAGAAAUGGCCCCAUGAUGGCAAUCAUUCGUGUGGGGCAUAGGAUGAGUUAAGGCAGCAACAGGAACCAUCAGAAUUGCAUCAUUCUGGUUCAGGGAUAGAGAUCCAGGCAUGAUCUAGACUGUAAGCGCAUUAUGGGCAGGAGAUGUAUCUGCUAAUUCCAUUGAAUCGUACUCUCCCAAGAGUUUAGUACAGUGCUUUACACAUAGUAAUCACUCAAAAAAUACCAUUGAUUGACUGAUGAUUAUGAUCCUCCCAGCUAAGCCUUGGCUCUUCCCUUUCUCUGAACAAGUCUAGCCUAGGAGUCUACGUAGAGUGAUGAAAACCACAGCCCGUGUGAACCUCCUCCACAGAAAAUUACCUUAGAUGCAACCCUGGAUGACUGGUCUCUGGCCAAACACCUGCAGAAACACAUUUUCGGGAUCCAGCUCUUGCAGAAUGCUGUUCUCGAUGAUGACAUCAGGACACAUCAGCAUGGCCAGUGCGUUAUCCGGAAAGCCAGAACAUCAUCUCUGGGAGGAAAGGAGAGUCAGUUAUAAGACAGAGAUCAACAUCUACUGUGAUGCUGCCGUCAUGACAAAUAAAACAGCUCUACCAAAUUCCAUCUAUGCUGUCUGAAGCAAAUUGCCAGCAUAAAAUGGCAAGAUCCAAUCUGAAACUCCUAAGUCCUGCAACACUGUGGGAUCGCGGGAACUGAGGCAAUGACAGUCAAUGUUCAGGUGUGAUGGGAUAGUCAUCUGAUGCACAUAGAUAAUAAGAAUAUUCCCAAGGUGAUCUUCUAUGGAGAGCUUAGCACCAGAGCAUGAUCAAGAAGUGGCAAAAGAAAAAAGCACAAACUGAAGACUACAUUUGGGGUGUGCCUCACUGAUAUGAGGGCUUGGGAGCUUGCAGUCUGGAGCAAAACCUCGUGACAUCGGAUCUGCCCUUUAACCUAAGAAGGCAAACACAUUAUUGCAGCAGAAAAACGUGAGGUGAAAGAUGGUUUCAAGUGCUAUAGGAUAAUUAGUGCCCUAGACUGUAAAUUCAUCUCUAGACUGUAAGCUCGUUGUGAGCAGGGAACAUUCCUACCAACUCUGUGACACUGAGCUCUCCCUAAUGCUUAGUACAGUGCUCUGCACAGAGUUAGCACUUAAUAAAUACCAUUGACUGAAAUACUAGUGAUUACUGAUUCUGCUCUGUAUGCCCUGCAGUCAGCCGUGAGUCUUGAGGCUCAAUUUCCAAGCACACCUCCAAUCACCCCAGAGUGACAAGAAGAUGGAGGAUCCCCCACAGCUUUCAAUGGAGACUUCAUCUUCAUUAUCUUAUUUUAAGGAUUCUUUUCCCCUUGCUUUCUCAAAUACAUGCAAAUCAAAUUCCUCCUACUUUUAUUUUAAAUACUAUGCUAUAAGGAGGAAAGGGAAAGAUGCAAGAGGGUAGGGUUAAGGGAUGGGUUUACGGUUGGGACCAAUCUGUGCAGCAAAGUGAAACAUUUACUUUUACUGUCUUUUUCCAAGCACUUAACAUAGUGCUGUGUUAGGGUGGGGCUCAAUAAAUACUGUUCACUGAUGUGUCAACAAUAUCACUUCCUAUUAAAAUAGAUCCUCUCCUUUCUUUCUUCUCCAGGGAUUCCCAGACAAAAAAGUCAAUAAACAGUGACUAAGGUGAAUGUAUGGAUGAUCUAUUAACAAAGCAAACCAGUAUAGCGAAAAGGGGCUCGGAGUAGAAAUCGAGUCUGCUUUUCAGAGAGAUAAUCCAGCUCAAUUUAUGGUACCUAAGAUACACAUGCACACACACCCCUUGUCCUUCACCUGACCAUGAAGUACACACACACACAUUCCUAAAGAGAUAGUACCCCUGGAAAUAUUUUGAAUUCUUUGGAGGGAAGGAGAAUAAUGCCAGUCAUUAGUGCCUUGGGACUGUAAGAGGUUGGUACCUCGCUAUUUCACUGAUCCCUUCCAAACAACCAAGAACUAGAGUUAUCAUCACCUCAUUAGCUUCACAGCUUUGCUUUCUCUAUGACAAAUAACAGGCUGGAAAACGAAGAGUUCGGAAUCUCGGGUCUAUUGAGGUAGGAUUUCCCCCCCCCUUUUUUUUCCCCAUUUGCAAUUAGAUAACUCUGACUCUUUCUGGCUGGUUAGCCCAAUGUUUUCUAGAACAGCAAACAAAAGUUGCUGAGAAAAAUAUAAAUGCCGAACACGUAAAUUUCUCCAGUUACAUUUUUCCCCCAGUCUAGAAUGUCCUCUGUUGUCUCUCAGUAUGUUACAGCCACCUGACAUCCCUGGUUGAGAGGCAAUCAUAGAAGAGUAUGCUGGCAUCCUUACAAUAUAAUGACAAUCAGUUACUGUAAAUGUGCAGGAGCUGAUAACAGAAUUCAUAGGGGUCAGAAAGACACCGGGGAAAAUAGAUGCCUUAUUCAAGAAAGAGGAGCAGCAACAGACCUUGGAUAGAUGGCAUCUUAAAACAUUUGUUAAUUUGCAGUUGUAAAACAUAGGGAAGUAAACUGAAAUCCUGAUAAAUGGCCAUUUAGAAAGGGGGCACCUCCCAUUGAACAGGCUUUGCUGGAGUUUAAAAAAAAUUUAUUUUCUGCCACCACCCUCCCACUUUCAUUGUCCUAAAAGGGAAGAGGAGUUAUGACAAGAGAAAGGAAGACACACUCAUCAGAUUUAUUCUAUUUGUCCUAAUGAGUUGUUAUUGAAUUAUGCAGUUAAACCAUUUCUACAUAAACAACAGGCAAGCAGGAGCCCUUAGAAAGCCUAUAAGCAUACCAAUUUCAAGAGCAGAUUAGAGCCUCAGCAUUGAAGAUUUAUCUCAGCAGCAAAUGCACUGUACCAGGAAAUUACUACCAAGCAGCAAAGAGUCAGCAGCAACCAGGAAUUUUGAGGUUCUAUUCGAUUCACGAUCACCUUUGGAACUUUCACCUGCCUGCUCUUCUUUUCUUCCUCUGCUCAUCGACUUCUUACUCUCUAAG